AGUGAACGCUGGCGGUAGGCCUAACACAUGCAAGUCGACCGGCAGCACAGUAAGAGCUUGCUCUUACGGGUGGCGAGUGGCGGACGGGUGCGGAGUACAUCGGAAUCUACUUUUUCGUGGGGGAUAACGUAGGGAAACUUACGCUAAUACCGCCUUCGACCUACGGGUGAAAGCAGCGGAUCUUCGGACCUUGCCCGCUUGAAUGAUCCGAUGUCGGAUUAGCUAGUUGGCGGGGUAAAGGCCCACCAAGGCGACGAUCCGUAGCUGGUCUGAGAGGAUGAUCAGCCACACUGGAACUGAGACACGGUCCAGACUCCGACGGGAGGCAGCAGUGGGGAAUAUUGGACAAUGAGCGCAAGCCUGAUCCAGCCAUACCGCGUGGGUGAAGAAGGCCUUCGGUUUGUAAAGCCCUUUUGUUGGGAAAGAAAAGCAGCAGGUUAAUACCCCGCUGUUCUGACGGUACCCAAAGAAUAAGCACCGGCUAACUUCGUG
rnacentral:rRNA from 1 species